UUCAUUCAACUUGGAUUACAACACAAGAUUCAAAAGUCACAACUGCUUAGUUGUUAUACACUAUUUUUCCAAAUAUCUACAGCUAUCAAGUAAGGCUGAUCUUACCAGAUUUACCAUUGUUAAUUGCUGAACAAUAAUCACAAUGUUGACUCCCAACGGGGUUACAUCCCUCAUAAGGACAGAAUUUGUACUGCUUUUCUUCAAUAGGGAUGCUUCAGAGGGGGGCAAAGGUGUGUUUAUUUGCACUAGUCAAGGUCCGCUUAGGCGCAUAGAUCAAAUGUCUGCAAAGAGCAGCCUCUGUGUUUGCUAUCUUGUUUGUUUUUGCUCUCUUUCUGGUCUGGACAGCUCUGCCUAAAUUUUGCCUGUCAUUUUUUCCAAUCAACUAACAUACUCAGAUACAGAAAAACCCUAAGUUUGAUUUUUUUUGGGUACUAAUAACUACUAUGUACUAAGGAUUAACUACUUUCAUCGGCCAAGCCUACUAUGAAGGGCAGCUUUGCAAUGUCUAUACUGGCUGACUUACUGCAGACAGCAAAUGGGCAGGAUAUUGUCUAUCUGCAGCUUUUUACAUUGGCUAGCUAGCGAUAAAAUCUUCAUUGAUUCAUGAGCACCUGGAAAGGAGGAAUGCUGAGAACAUUGAUAAUCGGGUACGUGGAGGAGGAGCCUUGGGAUCACACAACCCUGAUCAACAAUCUGCCCAGUUCAAAUAUAUUGUGGAACCAUCCCCUCCCAUCCAGUCAAGUUCUAUUUCUGUUAUGCAGUUUUAAGGAAGCCCUGAACCCAGUAUUCAGAGUUACUUUAUUCAAGAUAUUUUAAAGAGAAUAUUCAUCUAUUGAUUGAUCUAUAUAGUAGUUACUGUCUUGGAAUGAGAAUGACAAGUUCAAGAGCAUCCCACAAGUAGCUGGGCUGGUAUAUUUCUUGCUCAGCUGCAGUGCAGGAGAAACGGUUUUGAAGAUACCAUUCAGCUGGAAAUACCAGAACUUUGUGGAGCUUGGAGGUGAGUAAUUUUCCCAUUAGAGAUAAUUCUUAUCUCUUCAUGCUGACUCCUGAGUUACAGACAUCCUAGAAAAUCCUGUAGGAAGACUGCUGGCAAUACAAAAUGAGCAGGAAUGAAAUUGACAAUACUCUUUCAGUAUAUAGUUUUUAUUUUACAGCAUUUGUAUAUUGUUUGAAUGCAUAGGCUGUGACUAGCAUGUAAUUUAAAGUUAAUAACCCCCCAAAAUAUCUCACCUCAGCCUAAGUCAAACAAUCAUAGCCAUAAAACUAGGUGGUAGUCUACAAUUCACUCAGAUUUAAUGCAUUUUGAAAUGGCACUUUAUUUGUAUUUUUUACAGCUAGAAAUCACAAGUAGGAAUUUCUCACUUUAAGUAGAUUAGAGCUAAUACAGAUAUUCUUGAAUUUAAGCCAUGCUGCGAUAAAACAGUGGUUUACGAACACCAUAUUUUCUUAAUCUGAGGAACAUUUUUCAGUGGCUAUAUACAGGUAGUCCUCGAGUUACAACAGUUCAUUUAGUGACAGUUCGAAGUUAUAAAGGCACUGAAAAAA